rnacentral:tRNA from 2 species
GGAAGAGCGUUACCUCCGGUGAGGUAUCCGGACUUCAAAUCCGGAAGGGGCCGCGAGCCGGUCCCUGGUGGGUUCGACUCCCACUCUCUUCCGCCA